rnacentral:lncRNA from 1 species
AUCCUUAACACCUGUAUACGUGCCAUAUACCAAACCAGGAAGUCACACUUUUCUGUUCAUCAAAUCUUCUGUGCGAUAUACAGAACAUCACCAAGCACAUUUUAAGAAAAUUCAGUGCUGAAAAAUUAUUUUCAGUGAAUCUUUUAUUAAUCUACAAGUGCCAAAUCAUAUCUGCAGGGGGAAAAGAAAAUUCUAAAAGAAGCCCAAACAAAAAUAAUAGAACAAUUAUUGCUUGAAAAUUCUGAUUGCCUAUAAAUUAUAAGUCUAUUCAGCUCUGUGACAAUUUAUGUUUUCAUUUAUGAAACCAUUCUUGUUAUUAACUUUCAAUCUUGUUUACUGAGGGAAGUAGGAAUACACCGAGCAGGCAAAUCAUUUUAAACCAUGUCUUGAAAACCUAGGGUUAUGGCACAUGGGACACGUUUAUUACCACUGUUUUAGAGCACAUGAUAAGUUUAAAAUGGGGCUCUAUUUCAAACAGCAGGGGUUGGUUAGGACAAGGCAACUUACCAUGACCGCAGUUUCUAAUGUAAAAGUGUCAAUGUGCUUGGUAUAUUCAUAAUGUGUUUAUUCUCAUUACAGUUUUCAAUUUGUCAGUGUUUUACUGGCAUGCAACCACAGAGCACAGACAGCUAUUGCUGGUUAACCUUGUUAUUGCAGACAAGUUACAAGUCCUGACAAGAGUCUGAUAACUGUGCCUACUUAUUUUAAGCCAUGCAUGGGGAAAGGGUAGGAGGUUCAAAGUAAGUUAUGCUUUCCUGUGUGAGUCCCCAUAUGAGCACUAAAAGUUACUGUAAAUAUAAAAGCAGAAGUGCUUGAUUGCCAUUUUGUCAUUAUGACAUUAGACAAGAAGGUAAUCAAAAGACAGAAUCAAACAUGAGGCUGAAGUUACAAAAGUGCAAAACCCUGAAGCCUCAAUCCUCUAAAGCAAAUGUAUGGAUUUAAUCACCUGUGCAGGUCUUUGCAGGAUGGAGGACUCAUUCACUUGCAAAUAAUCUGUCCUGGAAUCUAUAUCCCAGAAGAAACACUGACCAAACAGGGCUCAGCUAUCUGGAAAGUUGAUAGUGGUGUGUACAGACAUCUCCUUGUUAGCUCUGGACUGGGCCAUUUUCAAGAUAGAUGGCUUUAAUCCUAUGAAUAGGAUACUCCAACUCAGAGCAGAAAUAUCCCACAUCAUUUCACAGAGCUUCAAGAUGGAACACCUAUUCUUAUGAUAAUAUGUUUGUUUAGAGAAACCUCCCAAGAUCCUCAGUGGCAGUUUUGCCACCCUGGUAAGUAUUUAUAAAUGAGUCACAAGCCUCUGAACAAAAGCUUUGGAUUGGAAGCCUGACUGAAGCACUGAUAUUAGUACCCAUAUUCAUAUUUCACUUGCUGACCUUGUAUCAGCUACUUUUAUGGAAAAAUCAAAUGCUUUUCAUUAUUACAUUCAAUUUCUGUCUUAUAUUUCAAGCCACAUCUAAAUUCUACUCUUUGAGGUUAAUGAUGGUAUGCUUCUUUAUGAAUCAU